AUAGCUUCUGGGCCUUUUAGCUAAGAUCAAGUGAAGAAUCUGAUUCCACAAACCACUCAGAAAAAUUCUAUUUUUUUCUGGUUGCUCCCAUUUUCAUCCAUAGGGACACACUUGAUUAACUUGACAACUUGUUUAUUUUUGUACCUUUGCCUAAUAGUAAACAGGAAUCUUC
rnacentral:snRNA from 1 species